AAGGACAUGAGCAGAAUAACAAGCAGUAAGGAUCAGUCCCAUCAUCAGCCAGCAAUAAUCAAAUGAAUUGUUUUCGAAGGAAACGAAACUUUUUUCAAGGCAGAAAUCGGUGAUGAGCCAGCCGGAGCCAAUUAGGAUGGUGAUGGCAACUAGGGAAGCCCUCCCAGGUUAGGUCAAGAAACUCGGACCACGAAUGUCAGGAAGGCCAAAAGCAACCAGGAAACGUGUGAAGACAUGUGUCCGAAGAAGAAACAUAUUGUUAUAUGCAUGUUUCAAGUGGCAUCAUACGGAACCGAGGAAUGCUCUCAUAUUGAUCACGAAAAGGCGAUUAACAAUAGUCGAAUAGUUCGGCAUCAGGAGGCUGCGUUAGCGAUCAAGUUGCAUUCGGAGAAGGGCAUGACGCUAUAUACUGUCAAGGAUUAUGAAUGUGAGCGAAGACGCGAACGGUAUCAUGACCUGGGGCUGAUGUGGAUUCGCUGUCCGAAUGAAGUGGAACUCCUGGUUUGGGUGGUGCUGCUUAAACGAUAAGAACCUAUUCGGAAGUGAGCUAGAUGGGCAAAGGAAUUUUACAUUCGAAGGAGAUGCGAUUCGUGAUGCAAACCAAUUUUGCAAUUAAAUGACUAUGUCAAGUUCUUCCGCUUGGUUCGACAAGCUACUCACAUGAAUGCUUACAUUUUAUUACUAUUCAUCAAAUUCAUACACUUGGCUUGGAAACCAUGUUGAUGACCUACACGUAUCAGAGCACCUAUUUCCGAGAACGCUGAACACUGCUGCGCUGCUACUUCGUUUCUGUCUGCGUAUGGUCAACGAGUCUUUGGGGAUCAUCUGGGGUCUCAAAUAAUACAAGCGGCCAGAAAUUCGAUACCAACUGGAAAGAGGAAACAAGAACCAGAAAACCUUUUAACGUCGGAUAAGCCAUUUGCGGGAAACUUUGGGAGAAUUGUCAGUCCUGGACGAUUACCAACUUGAAACCAGUUUCCCUAACUCAGGAUACUUUCGAAAAGAUUUGUACCACGCCAUUCUAAAUCCGAUCGAGCUUAAUAGACCCUAGAGCCCCGAAAUUAUUGACGACGACAAAGGGAUUCCGAAUAGAAUUUUAAAGAGACGAAAAUCCGACUAAAUGACGUAUUCCGAAAAUAAUCCUUUGCAAUUAAUCCGUCCAUUGAAUCUUUUAAUCCUGUAAAACUAGUCUUAUGCUAUUUUUGUAUUUAAUUUCAAACAGAUAAAGCUAUAUGCGGGCUCCACUCUCUUAUGAGCCAAACACAAUGGAUACGUUUGCGUGGGUUUUGACAGUUUUCCUAUGGGAAAUCUGUCAAAACGCACGCAAACGUACCCUUUGUGUUUGACCCUUUACUUUAAGAGCAUAAUUGACUGGCGCGAGUAUUCUGAGCAUACGGAUCAUGCAUAAAACAAUGCACCUAAGACACUAAUAGAGGCGUUCAUCUUACGCAUAGCUGCCCGUCGUUCGUCGCGCGUCUCACGUUUAGCACCCUUAUCACAAGAGACUUCGAUUCGACAGUAAUCCCUAUGCCACAUGCUGGUGUCUCGUGAAUCCUCGAACGUUUCGCAACAGGUGCUGUGAUAGACCCUUAACACCAUUUCGGCUGUUCAAAUCUGUACUUACAUUGGACGACAUUAAUCUUCGCAGAAUUCACCAACGGGUUGCAAUAAUCGACAAUGUAAUUGUGUAGCACUUCCUCUAUACAUCCGAAUAGACCUACAGAGUUUUCGUAUUAUAGUGUCCACUAUUCUUUGCUUGGCCGAGUCCUGUUAACUGUGCCAAAAGAGUUGUUUUGUUGAUUGCUUGGUUAAUUAGUUGGUUGCUUGCUUGAUUGGUUGA